AGCGCCAAUUUCUUUAUUAACAUUCUGAAAAUUAAAUUUAGGUAAUAGAUUAUAAUUGCUAUCUUUCAAUCCUCUCUAUAGCACCCAUAGGACGCCCAGUACAUCGAUCGUCGACGCCGGCUGGACCAACCAAUUUUGCAGAGGAGACGCCGUUAAGACCAAUCAAUCUGGUACUGAGCUUUGCCGUGGAGUGUCCUUCCAAGGAAUUUCUGCUGUUCAUUAUCAGAUGCUGUGUAUGAGUACUUGGACACUGGGAACUUAGAACAGUGGCUUCACGGAGAUGUGGGACCUUCCAGCCCUCUUACAUGGGAAAUUAGAAUGGAUAUCAUUCUUGGAACAGCUAAAGGGUUAACCUAUCUGCAUAAGGGGCUUGAACCACAUCAAAUCAAGCAAUAUUUUGCUUGAUAAGAAGUGGAAUCCAAAAGUGUCCGACUUUGGCUUGGCAAAGCUUUUGGGUGCUGAGAAGAGCUACAUUACUACUCGGAUUAUGGGAACAUUUGGUUAUGUUGCUCCGGAAUAUGCUAGCACAGGCAUGGAGUGGUAACGUAUGUGUCGGAGUUAAUUAGAAGGAGAACACGCGAAGCAGACAAGUGUAAUUAGGCAGGACGUGCCUGAUAAAUGGAGGACUUCAUAUGUAUUCUGCUUUGCACAUGCUGAGCUGGUUCUUCUUACCUCAGGGGUAGAACUAUAAUUUACCACUAUACCUGUCAUGCCAGAGAAAUGGCACCUACAAUUGAAAUUCAUAUAUGAUUAAAGAGAAUUAGACUAUAAGAAUUGGUGUAUUUAGUAUUCAUUGCAUGCCCAAGAGAUUGAUUUUCCUUUCAUUUCAGGUUGAUGUAGUGAAGAAAUAAGUUAUGAAUGCAUUGCGUUGUGACUUGACUUGGAUUCUUGGAGAGAAAAGUAAGUCUAUUCAGAAAAUUAAGAUGAGCUGUGUAUUUUUAUUCAACUUUUGAGGUAAAGAACUUUUAGAAGAAGCAGACUCACAUUAUAGUCCUUGUCAGAAAGGAUUCACUUUUUUUUUGUUUUUUUGAACUGUCAUAUGGAUCCCAGCACAGACUUUCUGCUGAGAAUAUGUAAUGCUGUUACCUUUCUUAAAAAAUAAAAAAGGAGUUUCUAGUGAAGUAAUUCUUUUAAGAACACUUGCUGAUCUUAUGUAAAUCUUAUCCCAGUUUAUGGAUGCUCCUACACGCACCUGUUGGUAUGCUCUUACAGGGUCUGUUCGCUCUACAAUCUUCUUGUCCGCUUUUGUUGUAAUCUUUCAGUCCAGUUUUUUGGGCAUCAUUUGUGCUUUUCUUGCUGCUGAAUGUUAGCGGGUGGCAAGCAUUAAUUCCUCUGAUUAUCAUUUUAGCUGUUGGAACAAAGCUUCAGGCUAUUUUGACUAGGAUUGCCCUUGACAGACAUCACAGAGAGACAUUCAGUAGUUCAAGGAAUCCCUCUUCUCUUGUACAAGCCUCAGACAAAUAUUUUUGGUUUUGGUCUUCUUUUGUGAAACUAUAUAUCACGCGAUAAUGUUAACCAAGUUUUCUGGUCUAAUUAUAUAUCAUGUUUUUGUAUAGAGAUUCUCGAUAGUAAUUUGGUAUUUAUUUGAUGAAAUUUAUUAUUUUGUGA